GGCAUCCUGCGUGCUUUGGAAAUUCAAGUGUAUUUUAUCUCACAAUAUGUAAUCAACAAUUAACAAUGGAAACACCCUGCUGACUCCCAAAGGAGCAGACUACAAUUUCCUGGUGUUAGUUUGCUAGAUUCAGUAGUCAUCUUACUUAAGUACACAACAUUAAUUAAAGUCCUUAACUUUUUUGUUAAUUUUUUUAAUACGUAUUUAAUAUCACCUGCUAGGGAGUCCGAAGGUACUGUACAGAACUGGUAGGUAACAUCAAGCACGUAACUAUAUAAAUAGCAAGUACUUAAUUAUUAAUAUUCAACAUUAAGAUGUACAGUCCUGGCUAGUUUAUAAAGACUGUUUUAUUUCAUCAAGCAUAUUGGUUCUUUGCUGCAGUCUCUGAAUUUUAUUAACUUAGGUACGCAGAGUUGAGACUGUCCUUGAAAUAGCGGCUAUUAUAUACAGAUGUCAUGCUCCUAUAGUCGUCUCUCCUAACAUCAUCUUCCAGUUGGUUUCCUCAACUGUUCACGCAUGGUGUGCUAUCACAUUCUUUUUGCAGACACUGAUACAGCACAUCUGCAUGCUCACUGACCCACUUGCUGCCAUUUAAGGUCCUGUUUAAAGUAAUUUCUCCCAAGUGAGUGAGUUUGUACUGAGACAUAUCCUGUUUCUUCUAAGCCAGCAUCUAUUCUCACAGGAUUGUCAUGUAAAACAGUUGCUCCCUUAUUCAUGUUUUAGCUAAAUCAGAACUGAUUAUCAAUUAUUAAUAUGUAAGUGCACAUAAAUAUUAAUGUUGGCUGCUACUCCACAACUGUUACUGAUGGGAAAGUCAGUGGGGCAACUAAGAUAAAGGUAUGUUUUUUCAUGGGACUGUUGUGCUUUUUCAAAGAAGGAUGUCAGGUACUGCAAACCAGAUUUACACCAGAUCAGCACUACCCUUCUUGACUUACUGAAAUGGUAUCACAGAGAUGUAGAAUUACAUAUUCUUCCAGUAUUUUUACAGAUUUAAAUAUGCUAAGGAUGAACUAAACAGUAAAAAUCCUCACUUGUGUUUUUCAUAGGGGCUGUAAACUGGGCUGCUGCUUUUAAUCUGUAAGGAAAGAAGAAGGGACAGGAGCAGAAAUAGGGCAAGAGGAAAAAAAUGGUGUGUGCCAGUUACUUUGAAAGCUUGUUGCUCCUAGGCCUGCUGGGAAGAUGGGAAUAUUAGGGCAAGUAAUGGCUGGUUUUUGAGGCACUGACUGUCCCAGCAGGAAUAGUUAUCACCUCACACGCUGCCGCCCAUGAGUUGGCAAUACCAGCAGCAGCAGUGAGGCUUUCCAGCCUCUGGCAGAGGAAGACGGAGUGUUGGACUGCAGCCACUUCACAGAUCCCAGCAACCUGCUGUCUUCAGCAACUUUGCCUGUGCCUAGAGAGAAUUGUGCUUCUGAUUGUGGGAAAUGAAAACAUAAAGUGGAAAAAAUUUUAGCUUUUAUCAAUUGUCUCCCAGUUUGCUUGGUGCUGGUAAUUACACUACUGAAAAUUUCUACUUCAUUUGGUAUUGUCUAUAUUGUUACAUUACAUGAUGAUAAUCUAGUGUUCUCUCAAAUACUUGAUAUAUAUAGUAAUUAUUUUGAAGGGCCAAUGACAGGUCUAGCCAAGAAAGAUUUACUGUAUAUAGUGAAAUAUAAAUAUUAAAGGUUUAAUAGAUGUGUGAACAAAAUCCAUAUAUACAUAGAAAAAACUCACCCCCAAACCAAAUGUCUUUUUCUAUUUGAUGAAAUAAUCGGAGAUUAUUUCUUUUUAAUAUUCUGAUUGUGCUCCUAAAGGCCAUAGAUUGCAAAAAGCCACACAGUUACACUCCCUGUAGUAGAUUUGGUUCAGGAAAGCAGAAAACAUUUAUGAAAGACAAUAUCAAUAUUGCAUGUGUAAAAAAUGACCAAUUGCACAUCUAAAUGAGCGUGUAAUUGUAAUUGCACAUGAUUUUAGUUUUGUAGUGGAUGGCACUUAACAGCAAAGUAAUGGGUUUGAGCUGAAAUGAAAGGACUCUUGGGUCAGCCUGAGGGCAGACUUGUAGUUGCAAGAUUAAAAAGCCAUUUUCUCUAUAAUUUGUUAUUCAGUUGUGCAGCCAAAUGUAAUCAGCCUAUUUGCAUAUGUAAUUGUGAUUUAUUUACGAGCACUUUUUUGGGAAACUUUUUUUUUCCUAAAGCCACUUUUAAAGUAAUUUCAUCACAAAGCAAAACCAAACAUUAUUUCCAAUGUUAUAUGCUUUAUUAAGUCAAUCAACAGGACACCGAGAGACAAGAAUGUACUUGUAAAUGUACAUAUGUGCACACAGAAUAUUAUAGUUGUACUUUUGUGAAGUGGCUGCUUUCAGCUAAACUAGUGACUUGUCCUGGGGAGGCAGCCCAGGGAAAGAAUGCAAAAGUUUUUAUCCCCUGAUUGUUCCUAAAGUUGAGCUGUUUAAUAUAUUAAUAUUCUUCUUUCAACAGAUUUGAGAAUUCAGGAUAUUAAUCAUGGGUAUUAAUCUUGUUCUUUUUGACUACAGAAACUGUUGAAUUAAAAAUGGGAAGUUAGUACUGUAUUUGGUGCUUACCACAUGUAACUAGAGGCUCAAAUGUUUAUGAUCAGCAUAUAAUACUACAUACAUUCAUAUAUCAAAUAUAUUUUCUUCACAUACAGAAAUGCUUUCAAGUCUAUCAACUGUCAUGCUUCUCCUGAAUUAGGAUUUUGUAUUUUCCUUUAAAAUUAAUUUUCUGGGAUCAUUAAUUGUAACAGAUUCUCAACAUUUUCCUUUAAUUUCUGAGUUUUUUGAAUGUGGAGAAAAUCUUAACAACAUGGAUCUAAGGCACCAUGCAAGUAUCAAAAAAAUCCCUAAAUGACUGAUAAAAUUAAUUUUAUAAAUAAAUAUAUAAAAGACCUACGAAAACUAAACAUUCAUUAUUUUGGGGGAGGUUCAUCUCUCAUCAUGGAGGGGUGGCAAUACUGAAUUGCAGAGGUUAAUUAUUGCACCUGAACUGAACAGUGCAUUCAGGAUGCACUGAAUAUUCUUAGUAACUGCAGACACUGAACAUCAGCAUUUCAACUGACCCUAUUUUAUAGGUUUUGAAACACCAGCUGCACAUCCUGCUUCUUGAAAGAGAUCCCAGAAGCCACUGGCAGGAAGAUUAAAAGAAGAGGCAGGGGAUGAGCCUUAAACUCCUAAAACAGUUUGGAGCACACACCUAUUCACUGCAUAGAGAUAAUGUGGCUGCUGUGUGUGCUGUCUAAGACUGAGAAUGUAAGAAAAAACAUCAUUCUGUGCUUCACGGUGAAGAACUGCCAUCUCCUGCCAUGUGAACUAGCAUGAGAGAACCAAGAGUUCUACCACAAGUUACAUGAGCUGCACAAAUCACUUCUGACAACCAAGGUAAAUAAAUGCCCUGAAGUUCUGUCACUCAUCAUCUGGACUAUGAACUCCAGAACAGACAGUUUUGUCUCUACUUGCUGCAUCAAGCUAUCAGUGCUUCAGUUGAACAGAAUAUAAAAUGCAAAUAAAACAUUAUUUACUA